AGAUUGAACGCUGGCGGCAGGCCUAACACAUGCAAGUCGAGCGGCAGCACGGGUACUUGUACCUGGUGGCGAGCGGCGGACGGGUGAGUAAUGCCUAGGAAUCUGCCUGGUAGUGGGGGAUAACGCUCGGAAACGGACGCUAAUACCGCAUACGUCCUACGGGAGAAAGCGAGGGGACCUUCGGGCCUUGCGCUAUCAGAUGAGCCUAGGUCGGAUUAGCUAGUUGGUGGGGUAAUGGCUCA
rnacentral:rRNA from 1 species